rnacentral:rRNA from 1 species
AACGAACGCUGGCGGCAGGCUUAACACAUGCAAGUCGAACGCCCCGCAAGGGGAGUGGCAGACGGGUGAGUAACGCGUGGGAAUCUACCCAGAUCUACGGAACAACAGUUGGAAACGACUGCUAAUACCGUAUACGCCCUACGGGGGAAAGAUUUAUCGGAUUUGGAUGAGCCCGCGUAAGAUUAGCUAGUUGGUGGGGUAAUGGCCUACCAAGGCGACGAUCUUUAGCUGGUCUGAGAGGAUGAUCAGCCACACUGGGAGUGAGACACGGCCCAGACUCCUACGGGAGGCAGCGGUGGGGAAUAUUGAACAAUGGGCGCAAGCCUGAUCCAGCCAUGCCGCGUGAGUGAUGAAGGCCUUAGGGUUGUAAAGCUCUUUCAGUAGGGAAGAUAAUGACGGUACCUACAGAAGAAGCCCCGGCUAACUUCGUGCCAGCCGCCGCAGUAAAAC